rnacentral:rRNA from 1 species
AUGGGGCGAAGCACAGUUAAUCCUAUUUGGAGUAAGAUAUGGAAGUUAUCGUGUCCAGCAAAAGUCAAAAUUUUUAUAUGGCGUACAUUACAUGGAACGCUUCCAUGUCGGGUUACGCUCACAAAUAGACAUAUGAAGGUCACGCCCAUUUGCCCUACUUGCUCUGAGGGUUCUGAAGAUACAAAGCAUAUGCUUUUCCUUUGCAGUAGAGCAAAGGAGGUUUGGACAAGGCUGGGGAUGGAUGAUAUCAUUGAUAAAGCUUGCAAGGUUGACCUUGCUGGAGAGGCAGUGCUCGAAUACCUACUACUUCUGCCAGACCAAGAUUUGAGGAUAAUGGGUCAUCACAAUGUGCGUGAAAUGAUUGCUGUUUCAGCAUGGUAUCUAUGA